rnacentral:rRNA from 1 species
AUGCCAUGGGAGCCAAGGACCAGAGGGGAAACCCUUCUCCCAUCUAGGGAGGAGGUCAAGGAAGAAGAAGAAGAAGAAGAAGAAGAAGAAGGGGGGCUCUCUCCCCCUUGCUUCCGAUGGCGCCGAAGCGCUGCCGGGGGCCAUCAUCAUCGCCGCGAUCUACACCAACACCUCCAUCAUCUUCACCAACAUCUCCAUCACCUUCCCCCAUCUAUAUUCAGCGGUCCACUCUCCCGCAACCUGAUGUACCCUCUACUUGAACAUGGUGCUGUAUGCUUCAUAUUAUUAUCCAAUGAUGUGUUGCCAUCCUAUGAUGUCUGA